rnacentral:rRNA from 1 species
UACGUAGGGUGCAAGCGUUGUCCGGAAUUAUUGGGCGUAAAGAGCUCGUAGGCGGUUUGUCGCGUCGAAUGUGAAAACCCGGGGCUCAACCCCGGGCCUGCAUUCGAUACGGGCAGACUAGAGUUCGGUAGGGGAGUCUGGAAUUCCUGGUGUAGCGGUGAAAUGCGCAGAUAUCAGGAGGAACACCGGUGGCGAAGGCGGGACUCUGGGCCGAUACUGACGCUGAGAUGCGAAAGCGUGGGGAGCAAACAGG